rfam:Chamaesiphon minutus PCC 6605, complete genome.
CCAAAAUUCAAUAGCCAACCACAGACAGCAGGAGCGCAUAGCUUAAUUCCCUGCCGAGGUUAACGCAAACAGCAGCAGCGAUCGCUACUAAAGAUUAGUGGCAGCUCGUCAGCGACUGAAUGAAAACCUCGGCACUUAGUGUCGGGGUUAGUUUUAUGCCUGC